rnacentral:rRNA from 1 species
GCAUAUCAAUAAGCGGAGGAAAAGAACCAACAGGGAUUGCCUCAGUAACGGCGAGUGAAGCGGCAACAGCUCAAAUUUGAAAUCUGGCUCUUUCAGGGUCCGAGUUGUAAUUUGUAGAAGAUGCUUCGGGUGUGGCUCCGGUCUAAGUUCCUUGGAACAGGACGUCAUAGAGGGUGAGAAUCCCGUAUGUGACUGGUUGCCUUCGCCCAUGUGAAGCUCUUUCGACGAGUCGAGUUGUUUGGGAAUGCAGCUCAAAAUGGGUGGUAAAUUUCAUCUAAAGCUAAAUAUUGGCCAGAGACCGAUAGCGCACAAGUAGAGUGAUCGAAAGAUGAAAAGCACUUUGGAAAGAGAGUUAAACAGUACGUGAAAUUGUUGAAAGGGAAGCGCUUGCAACCAGACUUGCGUGCGGUCGAUCAUCCGGUGUUCUCACCGGUGCACUCGAUCGUAUUCAGGCCAGCAUCGGUUUCGGUGGUUGGAUAAAGGCCUUGGGAAUGUAGCUUCUCUCGGGGAGUGUUAUAGCCCAAGGUGCAAUGCAGCCUACCGGGACCGAGGACCGCGCUUCGGCUAGGAUGCUGGCGUAAUGGUUGUAAGCGACCCGUCUUGAAACACGGACCAAGGAGUCUAACAUCUAUGCGAGUGUUUGGGUGUCAAACCCAUACGCGUAAUGAAAGUGAACGGAGGUGAGAACCCUUAAGGGUGCAUCAUCGACCGAUCCUGAUGUCUUCGGAUGGAUUUGAGUAAGAGCAUAGCUGUUGGGACCCGAAAGAUGGUGAACUAUGCCUGAAUAGGGUGAAGCCAGAGGAAACUCUGGUGGAGGCUCGCAGCGGUUCUGACGUGCAAAUCGAUCGUCAAAUUUGGGUAUAGGGGCGAAAGACUAAUCGAAACCAUCUAGUAGCUGGUUCCUGCCGAAG